rnacentral:rRNA from 1 species
GAUGAACGCUAGCUACAGGCUUAACACAUGCAAGUCGAGGGGCAGCAUUUCAGUUUGCUUGCAAACUGGAGAUGGCGACCGGCGCACGGGUGAGUAACACGUAUCCAACCUGCCGAUAACUCGGGGAUAGCCUUUCGAAAGAAAGAUUAAUACCCGAUGGUAUAAUCAGACCGCAUGGUCUUGUUAUUAAAGAAUUUCGGUUAUCGAUGGGGAUGCGUUCCAUUAGGCAGUUGGUGAGGUAACGGCUCACCAAACCUUCGAUGGAUAGGGGUUCUGAGAGGAAGGUCCCCCACAUUGGAACUGAGACACGGUCCAAACUCCUACGGGAGGCAGCAGUGAGGAAUAUUGGUCAAUGGGCGCAGGCCUGAACCAGCCAAGUAGCGUGAAGGAUGACUGCCCUAUGGGUUGUAAACUUCUUUUAUAUGGGAAUAAAGUUUUCCACGUGUGGAAUUUUGUAUGUACCAUAUGAAUAAGGAUCGGCUAACUCCGUGCCAGCAGCCGCGGUAAUACGGAGGAUCCGAGCGUUAUCCGGAUUUAUUGGGUUUAAAGGGAGCGUAGGUGGACAGUUAAGUCAGUUGUGAAAGUUUGCGGCUCAACCGUAAAAUUGCAGUUGAUACUGGCUGUCUUGAGUACAGUAGAGGUGGGCGGAAUUCGUGGUGUAGCGGUGAAAUGCUUAGAUAUCACGAAGAACUCCGAUUGCGAAGGCAGCUCACUGGACUGCAACUGACACUGAUGCUCGAAAGUGUGGGUAUCAAACAGGAUUAGAUACCCUGGUAGUCCACACAGUAAACGAUGAAUACUCGCUGUUUGCGAUAUACAGUAAGCGGCCAAGCGAAAGCAUUAAGUAUUCCACCUGGGGAGUACGCCGGCAACGGUGAAACUCAAAGGAAUUGACGGGGGCCCGCACAAGCGGAGGAACAUGUGGUUUAAUUCGAUGAUACGCGAGGAACCUUACCCGGGCUUAAAUUGCAUUUGAAUAUAUUGGAAACAGUAUAGCCGUAAGGCAAAUGUGAAAGUGCUGCAUGGUUGUCGUCAGCUCGUGCCGUGAGGUGUCGGCUUAAGUGCCAUAACGAGCGCAACCCUUAUCUUUAGUUACUAACAGGUCAUGCUGAGGACUCUAGAGAGACUGCCGUCGUAAGAUGUGAGGAAGGUGGGGAUGACGUCAAAUCAGCACGGCCCUUACGUCCGGGGCUACACACGUGUUACAAUGGGGGGUACAGAAGGCAGCUACCUGGUGACAGGAUGCUAAUCCCAAAAGCCUCUCUCAGUUCGGAUCGAAGUCUGCAACCCGACUUCGUGAAGCUGGAUUCGCUAGUAAUCGCGCAUCAGCCAUGGCGCGGUGAAUACGUUCCCGGGCCU